GUGCGCUGAGGGACAAAGGAGCUCCCUUAGCCACGACACCUUGAGGGGUCAAGGCCGAUGGAGCUUGUUCCUUUGCUCUCUGGGAACCGGCAGCCACCCAUCGCCUCCACCCAUUGCCAGUGCCCAGAAUGUAGAGGAACAAGCUCCAUGAGUCCCGAUCCUGCAAGGCGCUGUGGCCAAGGGAGCUUGUUUCUCCCUCAGCGUGC